CCCUUAGAUGUUCUGGGCAGCACGCGCGCUACAAUGGUCUUCGCAAACGGAUGCAUUCUCGAAGGAGAAUGCCAAUCUUGGAAUCUAUGCCUUGGUCGGGACAGUUGCUUGCAAUUUUUCGACUCGAACCAGGAAUUCCUUGUAAUCGUGAUUCAUCACAUCACGAUGAUUACGUCCCUGCCCUUUGUACACACCGCCCGUCGCUCCUACCGAUUGAACGUUCCGAUGAAUACCAUGGAUUGAGAGUCUGAAUGGGUUCGCCUAUUUCUGCUUCUCGAGAAGUGGAGUAAAUCUUAGCGUUUAGAGGAAGGAGAAGUCGUAACA
rnacentral:rRNA from 1 species